CGUAACAAGGUCUCCGUAGGUGAACCUGCGGAGGGAUCAUUACACAAAUAUGAAGGCGGGCUGGAACCUCUCGGGGUUACAGCCUUGCUGAAUUAUUCACCCCUUGUCUUUUGCGUACUUCUUGUUUCCUUGGUGGGUUCGCCCACCACUAGGACAAACAUAAACCUUUUGUAAUUGCAAUCAGCGUCAGUAACAAAUUAAUAAUUACAACUUUCAACAACGGAUCUCUUGGUUCUGGCAUCGAUGAAGAACGCAGCGAAAUGCGAUAAGUAGUGUGAAUUGCAGAAUUCAGUGAAUCAUCGAAUCUUUGAACGCACAUUGCGCCCUUUGGUAUUCCAAAGGGCAUGCCUGUUCGAGCGUCAUUUGUACCCUCAAGCUUUGCUUGGUGUUGGGCGUCUUGUCUCUAGCUUUGCUGGAGACUCGCCUUAAAGUAAUUGGCAGCCGGCCUACUGGUUUCGGAGCGCAGCACAAGUCGCACUCUCUAUCAGCAAAGGUCUAGCAUCCAUUAAGCCUUUUUUUCAACUUUUGACCUCGGAUCAGGUAGGGAUACCCGCUGAACUUAAGCAUAU
rnacentral:rRNA from 1 species